AGCUGGCAGGCAGGCAGAGAAGCAGCAGCUGGCCCAGGAAGCUUGUCACCUUGCUUCUCUUCUCUAUCAACAAUACUCCAUUUUCUUAACAUUAUAGCCAACAAACAGUAGCCCAAUUAAUGGCCUGUGUCGAUUGAGAGCCCUUGUCCCUUGCUGUAAAUGUUUUGUUGUUGCUAGGGCCUGGACUGAAAUCUAAUAACCUAAAGACAAUGUGUGAAGGACCAAAGGGAGUACAAACGGAGGACAAAAGAAACUACCACAGACUUGACUGUCUUCUACCUGCACAUCAGUCUCACACAGAGGGGAUUGGUUGCAUUGACCCACAGAGACACCUGCAGGAGACCAGCCAGGAUUUAAGCUACAUGGAUCAUCAGGUUUGUGUCCCAGGCUGACUAAUCGGGGAGCAUCAGCUGGGGAACAGCACCAAGCAGCAUCAGAAGCAAGCAACCAGAAUAACAAAGAUGGAUCCCUGUAACAGUGAUACAUAUGUGCUCAACAAUAGUCAUCAUUAGGCACACAAACCAAAUUCCAAACAUUAUUCCCCCGAUUCCUCACUAUAUCAAAAGUUAUGGAACAAAGCAAAUGUUGACUUCUUUUUCCAUGUUACCAUUGCAGUUUGAAAUUAGCCUCUGGGACAUUACCAUAAUAGACUGAAUAGACAUGUUCAUUAGCAUGUGCUGGUUGCUUUUAAUACAUGAAUAAUCUUCGAGUGUGUACUCGAAGACGAACAGGAAAGUGAUGAAGUGGAAAACAGAAAAAAGACACAUAAGGUGAAACAUUCAACAAAGAUUUGACAUAGGACCUGGGAGAUGUAUCGUUCUUUAGUUGAUGUUCUAUUGCAUAACCAGUUUUCAGCUAAUAGUAAUUUUGCCAGCUUGUGCCAAGUAUAAUGGACAUUUAAUCCUAAAGACUAUAAGUACACAUUGCAUCAGACUAUUAAACCAAAACCAAAGCUGUAUUUUAAUUUAAAAGUCAUUAAACACUACCAACUCUGAGGGAAAAUGCACUCUUACUGCAUUAACGCAAAUUUAAUUGAGCAACAGAAAAAAAGCAGGAAAAUGCAUCUGAUGAGUCUGCACAAGAGCAUAAAACAGCAAUACACAGCACUUGCCUAAUGUACAAUAUCAAAUCAACUGUUCUUUAACAGUUUAUCCACAAUCUCUAAUCCUUAACAGUCUAAUCGUGCCUGCUGUAGGGAUGAAUGGUGAGCAGUGCAUUGCAUAGUGAAACCAUUUAUUACUGACAACACAAGUUACCCUUUAAAAUAAGAAAGUUAUAUAUAUGCUUGAUUAUCACUAGAGCAGGUUUCAAGUUCCUAAUGGGCUUAGAAAAGUGAUCAGUGAAGAAUUCAUUUUGGAUUUCAAACCAAAACUCAGAAGUAUUGUUCAAAAUUGAGACAGAAAAAUAAAACUGUUGGUUCCUAACAGGCCUAUACAAGCAUACAACAAUGACUUAAUUUAGACUUUCUAUACAACACAGGAGUAUCCGUCAGAAAUAUGUGGGAUUAAUAAUUUUUGAUUUAGAAUAUUAAAUAAUGAUUGCAUUCUACCAUUAUUAUGUUGCUAAACAAAAUGAUAGAAUGUUUUCUUAUUUUUUACAAUUACAAUUGUUGUUUUCUCAUUGGUUAAAAAUGACACAUGUAGGUUCAAGAUUCCCUUUGGGUUUUGAAGCACAGAGCUCAUGAAUUCUGGGACUUACCCUAUUUUGGGGUCUAUUAUAGUGCUGGGAGAUAUGUGCAAAGGCUGACGCCAUCAAUAUUUCUUCUGACAAUUUUUCUUGUAUUUUAAAAUGAAGAUUAAUCCACAUCUUUUUUAUUAAUAUGCAUCAUAGCUGUCUCUCUAACAAAAUCUCAAUUCAAAUACAGUUGGAACAAAUCUUAGAACCUAAGAAGGGACAAGUGCAAUUGUCAGGUUAAGGAUCUAAUAUAUUUUUAGCACAGGUCAGGGGACACUCAGAACAAUGGAAAGGCAGUGGAAACUUCUUCCUAUCACUUUUAGUAAACAACAUUUACUGCACACGGGUCUCUAAAAUCCCAAACCAGCAACUUUGCCAUGUCUGGCAGCAAUUAUUUUGUUAAUGUCAAUGCUACUCGGGCUCUUUGAAGGAAGAAUGUGCUUCAUUUGCUGAGCAUAAACAUUUUCGGAAAAAUUGUGAUGUCUGCAACGUCUGCACCCCCCCACCCCCAUCCCCCAAGGUGGAGCAUGAAACAAGUGUGACAUUGUGUGCUGGGUAAAUACAUUUAGCUCAAAUGUAAUUUCUAUUAUUAAACAAUGACAAACAAAGAAGAGUUUCCGAUUAUAGUCCAAUGCUUACUGUCAUUUCUCAGGGGUUGACAGUGGUAAUGCAGCUGUGGAGCUAUAUGAUCCAAUGACUUUGUAUUGAAUAUGUUUGUCCACUAUUUAUAUGAUCAUAUUCAAUAUUUCAUACAUUUCUUAGUUACAAAGAAUUAGGCAACUAGACUUUUAGUAGACUUUUUUUCCACAUUUUUUAACAUGUUUAUGCCUAAAAUUGUUCCUGAGCUAUAAUGUAAAGUGACUCAACAAAAGGGUCCUAGCCCUAAGAUUGAGACAUAAUUCAUGUAAUGUUGUGCAAGGUGGAAAGCUGCUGAUAGCAAGGAAAAACAACUGUUGGCACACAUGACAGGAAACCAAAAGGCAGUACAAGGCUACACCUGAUUUCUGGCGAAUGUCUUGGUAAUUGUUAAGAGUUGCACAGUGGAGCUGUUAUAGCCAUGUUGCCUUGCCGCGAGAAGGUCCUGAGAUUGAAUCCCUGCUAGGUGCCAUUUUGCAUGGAUUUCCCAUGUUCUCCACAUGCAUGAAUGAAUUUCCCCUAGAACGAAGCGUGUGCAUGGUUUGCCCUGUGAUGAGCUACAACCCUGCAAGUAUUAAGAUGGCAUAAAAAAAUGAUGGAUGUAGCUACUUAACCUUUACACAUUCAGCCACCCAUAUUUAAAGCCCUUUUUUCUCAGCUGGAACACUGCGUUUCAUUUAGAGAUAUAUGUUUUCUCUACAGUUUCACAGGGGAAGAUCCUGUGCUGAUUUGCCAUUAGUUUACACAAAGGAGAAGAAGACGAAAUAAACUGAAAAGAAGUCAGUCAAGUCAGUCAUAAAGCUGAGAUGCGUUUACUACUGACUACACUAUCUUUAUAAUGCUUGGUUUGUAGCAUGCAGAAACAGUUGGCUUCCUUGCAUCGGGUCUGAAAACAUUUUUUACAGCAACCUUUGAUCAAAGAAUGUGACUAAUUAACUGUUUGAAACAUUUACUUUAAUGCCUUUUAUAUCUGGAUAUUACAAUUUUUUACCUUUUUGUUUAUGAAAUGCUUUUAUGCUCUGUUAUUUUCUUUCUGUCUCCCCUUUGAAGUACUGUAAAGCACUUUGGAUUGCCUUGUGUAUGCAUGGUGCUAUUUAAAUAAACAUGCCUUGUCUAGCUUAGGUCUGUCAGCAACUUACAGUCAGACAUGAAUCCCUCUGUUUACCAAAAUCUUAAUAAAUCAGAUAUAAGUCUAUCUAUCAUUGCAACAGGAGUUAAAACAAGCACAGCAGCAAAUCUGAAAACAAAUGACUGGAUAUGAAAAGUAUUGAGGUCCUGAAAUGGCCCACUUGAAGUGCAGAGCUAAACCUGAUUGGUACCAUAGAGUGUGUUCCAACUAUAGGGGGUGGACUUGGAGAAGGUGUUUGACUGUGUCCCUCUGGGAAUCUUGUGAGGGUACUCCGGGAGUAUGGGGUACCAGGCUCUUUGAUACGGGCUGUUAGGUCCCUGUACGACUGGUGUCAGAGCUUGGUCCGCAUUGCUGGCAGUAAGUCGAACUCGUUUCCGAUGAGGGUUGGACCCCGCCAAGGUUGCCCUUUGUCACCGAUUCUGUUCAUAACUUUUAUGGAUAGAAUUUCUAGGCACAGCCAAGGUGUUGAGGGGAUCCGUUUUGGUGGCAGUAGGAUCUGCUUUUUGCGGAUGAUGUGGUCCUAUUGGCUUCAUUUUCUCAUGCGUGGAUUUUAACAAGUAAACCGAGAAGAUAAGUCAAACUAAUAGAUUGUACACAAAAAAAACUGGCAGUGUUGUAACCUGAGGACAACCAAAAUAUGACUAAACGUAAGCAUGAACAUGAACAAGAACAUUCAAGAUUAUGCCUCCAUCCAUUAAGAAAAUAAACUCUUAUGUUUCCCAUCACAAAGCAGGCUGCUUAUUGCAUCAUCUUUCCAGGGAAGCCUAACUGAGGGUUUAAGUAGUCGCAGCACCUGGAACAUAAAACCAAAUUAGAACACAAAGCAGUCAUAGCAUGUGUGUUUUUCUAUAACUAUGCUGCACCACUCCCAUGGCGUAUAGCGAUAUCCGAAACCUAGUCCAAGCAAAGGUCACGGGAUACUCUCCACCAUGUGAAAGGAUUCAAUUUCCAUUGUGUUCCCUCUGCUGAGAGCUAAAAUUAGCUUUUCGUCCUGCAUCAACAAGGAUGCUCCAGUCAUUCAAAUAUAUGGAGGAUGCAGAAGUCCUAUGGGGCUGUUAAAGGAAAUUAUUUGCAGUCAUAACCCAGCCUGAUAUUUAUUACUGUAAACACUAUAGAAACAGGCAAUUAGAGCUGGAAAUCCAUUCAUGAAAUACCUUUAACUAAAUUAUUUCCGCCACUUGAUUUAUUUAAUUAUUAUUUACCAAGUGAAAAAAGAAUAAAAAACUGUUCAUUUGCUUUUUAUGUUUGCUUGCAAAAUUAUUUAAAGCAUUUGAAGAUGUUUUUUUGUUAUAUUGGCAGAGAUGUAGAGUUUGGAACAGCUCUUUGCUCCUUACAUCUUUUUAAAAGAAAAUGUUUUUCUUUUAUGGUUAUGGUUUUCUGAACAUUACAUUUCUUCUUGGCUGGCUCAGAAAAAACACUCAGCUCCAGUCCAGCAUACACCCGUAGUUGCAGUUGUUAUUCAACACAAGCCUGAACAAACUGACUUCAGCUGCAGACCUUCAAAACAUAAUUGCUCACAUUUAGAUUUGUUUUCAUGAUUUACAGCUCAGAUGUGUUCUAUUUGACUUUCCCAGUAAUUAAAUGCAAUUUGUUGUCAGAUUCUAAAUGUCCAUUUUUGUUUUUGACAAGCAUUUAAAUGAGAGAAACUGUAAAAAAAAAAAAAAAAAAAUCACCAGUUUACUAAUGUCAAAUCGAAUUGUUUUUUCCACAUUUCGUGGCUGAAAAUUGACUCAUCUACACUCUCUUCUGCCAACAAUCAGAAUAUUUUCAGUCUCGAAUCAUCUUAGACCUUUCCGGAUUUGGAGAGUCCUCCUCUUCAUUCCCACUUAUUCAUUUGAUCCGGAUCCAGUUGGCUGUGGGUGCCGUCAUCUUGUGACUCUACUUAUUUCCACAGGCAUUUAGGUGGGGACUUUAUUGUUAAUGGACCUUAAGAGCUCCAGGCCAUGUUUGAACUAUUGUAAUGAUGAAUAUAUGUGUUCUGGUUAACAGGGAAACAAAUGGUCAUUAUGUAUAAACAAAGUGAAGCUGGAUCUAGAAGCAGCGUUGUUAAUUACACAUAGGUAUUUGCCUCUCUAUGUUCUUUUUGUCCCAGGAAGCUUCGCUCGACAGGUUUUUGUUUUUUUCUUUGCUCAGUCUCAUAGGCAUUGUCCUGCAAAUAAAAAUGUGCUGGUUCUUAUCUUGUUCCCAGCAGCAAUACCCCAUUGGA